CCUAAGGGCUUCUGCUGUGAGUGGCACAUGGAGAGGGGUGGCUGCGGCUUUGCCUCUUUCUGUGCAGAAUCGCUAUCAAGAGAUUUCGGAAGCAUAAUUUUUGUGCUCGGGAAGUAUUUUUG